GAUGAACGCUGGCGGCGUGCCUAACACAUGCAAGUCGAGCGAACAGACGAGGAGCUUGCUCCUCUGACGUUAGCGGCGGACGGGUGAGUAACACGUGGAUAACCUACCUAUAAGACUGGGAUAACUUCGGGAAACCGGAGCUAAUACCGGAUAAUAUAUUGAACCGCAUGGUUCAAUAGUGAAAGACGGCUUUGCUGUCACUUAUAGAUGGAUCCGCGCCGCAUUAGCUAGUUGGUAAGGUAACGGCUUACCAAGGCAACGAUGCGUAGCCGACCUGAGAGGGUGAUCGGCCACACUGGAACUGAGACACGGUCCAGACUCCUACGGGAGGCAGCAGUAGGGAAUCUUCCGCAAUGGGCGAAAGCUUGACAGAGCAACGCCGCGUGAGUGAUGAAGGUCUUCGGAUCGUAAAGCUCUGUUAUUAGGGAAGAACAAAUGUGUAAGUAACUAUGCACGUCUUGACGGUACCUAAUCAGAAAGCCACGGCUAACUACGUG
rnacentral:rRNA from 1 species